rnacentral:lncRNA from 1 species
UUUUGGGAUUUUGAUUUGGGUCACAUGAAAUGCGCACCCGAGUUUAAGAAAGUAGCUUUAUUAAAUGUGCGCCUAAAGCAACUAGCGCGUUGAUAUCUUUGUGGGAAGCUAUGAAAAAGUGCUAAAUGGCACGUCCUGAUUUUUAUGUUUUUUAAUGAAAGCAACUAAAGAGGGCCACAUGCAAUUUAUGUUUUUUAUUUGGCGUGGCACACCUCAAUUUCAUUUUUAAGGAUAUUCGACAAAAAUUCAGGAAGUCUAAGAACCUUUAUUAUCUAUAUUGACUCAAUUCUUAUUUUGUAUAAGAGGUUUAUAUAGGUGACCUUAAAAUGGUUAGAGGCUAAUUAGUUAAAAAAAAAAAAGAGCUCAUCAAGAGGAGGUAUCUAUCUUAAGCGAAUUGAGCUAGAUUCUAGGAAAAUAGGAUAUGGUCCAUUAAUUAAGAGGAAAUGUCCUUCAUGGUCCUUCAGCAUCAUGUUCUAAUUGAUGAGCCUAAUUUGUUGGCAUGGGACAUAUACAAGCAUACUAUUCAAAGGCCCAUGUGCCAAAUAUUAGUAGCAAUCAAAGUCAGACUCAUGCUAAGAGAGGCGUAUCUAGUAAGAGUAUCUACAUAAUGGAUCAAAACAAAGUUACAUUCGAAACAUGCCAAAUAAACCUCAUAUAGCAGACCACAGUAUUCCCAUUUUUUAAACUAAAACAUAAAACAUAGAUUAUGCAAUAACAACUACUGAAACCAAGGAAAUUUUAAAUAGCUAUCCCUUCAAUGAUCAAGCUAAGAUUGUCACUUGUUAUUUCAAGCUUAAGCAUGAUUGUAUCAGCAUAAGUUCUGAUUUCAAACUACAAAACCACGGACCUACUUAUGUAUCCUUCAUGCAUAUUUAGCAAUCAUUGUUCACAUGAGUAUUUAUUUUCUAUUACAGAACCAAGAGUCCAGCAUUUUUUAGAUAGCUAAAUACAAGUUCAAAUCAUACAGCAUGGCUAGACAUAUUCAACAGGAGCACAAGGAACUAUCCCAUAACAUGAAAAUAAGAGUGUAAACAAUUAGAGUCAAUAGCCUUCUAAUGAUCAAACAUGGGUUUUGUUCAAAUUUCAACAUGAAUAUAAAAUUCCAGAUACAAUUCCAGUCUGGUUCCAGCUUGCAGCACUUAUCUAUUAGCAAAUCGUAUGGAGAAAUACCUGAAAUGUGAGGAAAGUACAGCAAAGGAGUCAAAGACCAGCAGCAGCAAAUUAGAAAUAACAGCCAGAAAAUAGAGCCGGAAUUGCUUUUGAAAAAACCAGGAAGUUUAUGUUUGAAACCCAAUCGUAAACUCAGUUGAAUAUCAACGGCAUAAUGGAUCUCAAUAUUUGUUUCAAAACCAAACUCAACUCAUAUUUUAACCUUGAGAUCUAGAGGAGGAUUUCAGAACUUGACAAGAUUCUCAGCUAUUUUUUGUGUAUUCUUUCAGUAACUUUUUUUCCCUCUAAAACUAUCUCACAGAACUUUUGAAAGACUUCCAGAUCUGAAAAAAAAAAUUUGAUCUUAGAACUUUAGAUCUGAAAUUUUCCCUCUCCAAGAUUUCAGGAUUUCAAAAACUUUUGGAUUUCAAAUUUCAGACUGCCCAAACCUCUUUUUGCAAGGUAGAUAGACUGCCUUUAUAGGCAAAUACUAGGGCAUCUUUUAGAUUUUUUUGACACCUUAGAUCCCUCUGAAUUUUAGCCUUUUUUUGCUUAAAAGUCCUAGGGGAGUGACUCUUACCCAAGUUAUACUACUCAAUUUCUGAAUUUAAAAUUAGAUUCCCAAUUUAGAAGGUUCUAGGAGGUUCUACCCUUAGUUACGACAAGAUUCUCUAUUUAGAACUACCCAAUAUGCCCAUGAGAACCCCUGAAAAUUACAUAAGACUGCCAAAUAAAGGUCUGGGCCAAGUGACCCAAUUCAAAUAGACCUACUAAUUUUAAGGAUUAAUUCAAACAAAGCCUAAACCCCUAGUUUGGAAAGACUGAUCAAACUUCUUAAGCAAAAGGGGGAAGGAAACUAAAAUUAAGCUAACUAAUCUAAUCAAUAAUGAUCCUAAAACUAAUUUUGCCAUCAAUCUAAUGAAAACAGUAGAAAAAAGCACAAUAAGAAAAUAUAUGAGACUAAAAAUAAAAGAAAAAUUAAACGAACAAACAAUGCAAAAAUCAGAACCCUAAUGACUACAAUUAAAACUAAAUCAAGAACAAGCAAGCAAAUAAAAUAACAGAAAAUAAAUAUAUAAAAAUAAAAUAAAAAAUAGGUGAAAGAAGGGGAAUAACAUAAUUGAAUAACGACCUGGGCAAACCUCUUUGAAUCACUGGAUCAAAAUAGUCUUUAAUCGUGUAUGUCUUCAUGAAAAGACACACGGCUAAAGUCUAUUAUGGUCAAAUCACCAGUAAAACCCCCUUAUAUGAAAUUAGGGUUUUCUUAAAAACUAUAUUCAAAGGAAACGGGGGUGAUUUGAAAAAAUAAGACUAUGGAUUAGGGAAGAGGGGUUGGUGGAGGUGGUAUGGUAUCAUUUUUGUGGUGUUUGGGUGGUGGCGAUGCCGGACACGGCGGAAGAACACACAAUGGUGCCCUAAAGUUUCAUUUAUUUGAUGGGUUUGGGUGGUAUUUGAGAGGGAAUACUUACGAAUCCAUGAUGAGGGGAGGGAGAUGAUACUAAGGUGUGAAUUUGGGAACCAUUGGAGAUUCUCCGCCGACGGAAGAGAUUUCUGACGGCGGUUCAUGGCGGCUCAGGGCGGUGGUCUCUAGGCUUUAAUCAUCGGAGGUGAAAGAGAUGAGAGGUAGGGGAAUUUGAGGGGGUAGGGUGUGUUAGGAUAUAUAUA